rnacentral:rRNA from 1 species
AAUAGAUACCCCGGUAGUCCACGCCGUAAACGGUGGGCACUAGGUGUGGGCAACAUUCCACGUUGUCCGUGCCGCAGCUAACGCAUUAAGUGCCCCGCCUGGGGAGUACGGCCGCAAGGCUAAAACUCAAAGGAAUUGACGGGGGCCCGCACAAGCGGCGGAGCAUGUGGCUUAAUUCGACGCAACGCGAAGAACCUUACCAAGGCUUGACAUACACCGGAAAGCAUCAGAGAUGGUGCCCCCCUUGUGGUCGGUGUACAGGUGGUGCAUGGCUGUCGUCAGCUCGUGUCGUGAAAUGUUGGGUUAAGUCCCGCAACGAGCGCAACCCUUGUCCCGUGUUGCCAGCAACUCUUCGGAGGUUGGGGACUCACGGGAGACCGCCGGGGUCAACUCGGAGGAAGGUGGGGACGACGUCAAGUCAUCAUGCCCCUUAUGUCUUGGGCUGCACACGUGCUACAAUGGCCGGUACAAUGAGCUGCGAUACCGCAAGGUGGAGCGAAUCUCAAAAAAGCCGGUCUCAGUUCGGAUUGGGGUCUGCAACUCCG